CCGUUUCAACCCUCUUCUUUUUCCAUCGCUUACGCACAUAAUUCCAUGCCUCUUUCUUCGUAUCCUUUGAAUAAGAUAAGUUACACAUCUCAAAGAACAUACGCUAUGUGCACGAGGGCAUGCGUUUAAAAUUUGAUAAGAUCAAGUUCAAGAUUGAGAAUCUUGAUUUGUGAUCGGCUCUUGGGGGCAGUCGAAAAGGCACCGUGUAGUCUUGGCGAGGACGGGCCAUCCAGAGGGAGCUGAGGGCUUGGAGGCGGUGGAAGUAAUCAGCAAUGGCUAGAAGGCUCCGUGCCGCCUGGUGGGUCGUCAACAGCUGGUGCAGCCGGUGUACGGUCUGGUGCCUAAGGUGAUCGGCCUGCAAGGUUGGAAAGGAGGUGCAUUUGCCGGGUUGGUCAAUUGCAUGGUCGGUUCCGAUGGACGGUUCGAGCAUCUUGGUUCAGCCAAAACCA